rnacentral:rRNA from 1 species
AGCGGCGGACGGGUGAGUAAUGCAUAGGAAUCUGCCCGAUAGUGGGGGAUAACCUGGGGAAACCCAGGCUAAUACCGCAUACGUCCUACGGGAGAAAGGGGGCUCCGGCUCCCGCUAUGGGAUGAGCCUAUGUCGGAUUAGCCAGUUGGUGAGGUAACGGCUCACCAAGGCCGCGAUCCGUAGCUGGUCUGAGAGGAUGAUCAGCCACAUCGGGACUGAGACACGGCCCGAACUCCUACGGGAGGCAGCAGUGGGGAAUAUUGGACAAUGGGGGCAACCCUGAUCCAGCCAUGCCGCGUGUGUGAAGAAGGCCCUCGGGUUGUAAAGCACUUUCAGCGAGGAAGAACGCCUAGCGGUUAAUACCCGCUAGGAAAGACAUCACUCGCAGAAGAAGCACCGGCUAACUCCGUGCCAGCAGCCGCGGUAAUACGGAGGGUGCAAGCGUUAAUCGGAAUUACUGGGCGUAAAGCGCGCGUAGGUGGCUUGAUAAGCCGGUUGUGAAAGCCCCGGGCUCAACCUGGGAACGGCAUCCGGAACUGUCAAGCUAGAGUGCAGGAGAGGAAGGUAGAAUUCCCGGUGUAGCAGUGAAAUGCGUAGAGAUCGGGAGGGAUACCAGUGGCGACGCGUCUUCUGGACUGACACUGACACUGAGUGCGAAGCGUGGGUAGCAAACAGGAUAGAUACCUGUUAGUCCACGCCGA